UGAAUACGAGAUGCUACGGCAUUGAAGCAGUGUAUGUCAGACUUCCAAGAAAAGCUCGCAAUGUCAUAAACAAUAAAUGCCUGUACCAUAACCGACACAGGUGGGUAGGUAGAGUAUACUAAGGGGCGCGAGAUAACUCUCUCUAAGGAACUCGGCAAAAUAACUCCGUAACUUCGGGAGAAGGAGUGCCUUCAUUUGAAGGUUGCAAUAACAAGACCCAAGCAACUGUUUACCAAAAACACAGGUCUCCGCUAAGUCGUAAGACGAUGUAUGGGGGCUGACGCCUGCCCAGUGCCAGAAGGUUAAAGAAGUUGGUUAGCCUAGCGAAGCUGAUGACUGAAGCCCUGGUGAACGGCGGCCGUAACAAUAACGGUCCUAAGGUAGCGAAAUUCCUUGUCGGGUAAGUUCCGACCCGCACGAAAGGCGUAAUGAUUUGGGUACUGUCUCAGAGAGGGGCUCGGUGAAAUAGACUUGUCUGUGAAGAUGCGGACUACCUGCACCAGGACAGAAAGACCCUAUGAAGCUUUACUGUAACUUGAGAUUGAAAUUGGACUUUAUUUGCGCAGUAUAGGUGGGAGACUUUGAUAAUAUUCUUGCGGGAAUAUUGGAGUCAUCAGUGAGAUACCACUCUUGUAAUGUUAGAUUUCUAACUUUGUAUCAUUAUCUGGUCAAAGAACAGUCUCAGGCGGGCAGUUUGACUGGGGCGGUCGCCUCCCAAACGGUAACGGAGGCGCACAAAGGUUUCCUCUGAACGUGUAGAAAUCGUAUCUAGAGUGUAAAGGCAUAAGGAAGCUUGACUGUGAGACCUACAAGUCGAGCAGGGACGAAAGUCGGUCUUAGUGAUCUGACGGUGCUGAGUGGAAAGGCCGUCACUCAACGGAUAAAAGUUACUCUAGGAUAACAGGCUGAUCUCCCCCAAGAGUUCACAUCGACGGGGAGGUUUGGCACCUCGAUGUCGGCUCAUCGCAUCCUGGGGCGGUAGUACGUCCCAAGGGUUGGGCUUUUCGCCCAUGAAAGCGGUACGCGAGCUGGGUUCAGAACGUCGUGAGACAGUUCGGUCCAUAUCCGGUGUAGGCGUUAGAAUAUUGAAAGGAGCCUUCUUUAGUACGAGAGGACCGAGAAGGACAUACCUCUGGUGUACCAGUUAUCGUGCCAACGGUAAACGCUGGGUAGCUAUGUAUGGAGUGGAUAACCGCUGAAAGCAUCUAAGUGGGAAGCCCACCUUAAGAUAAG
rnacentral:rRNA from 1 species